rnacentral:ncRNA from 2 species
CACGAUACCUCGGGGGGCCAACACUGGCUGAGAUAGCGCAAGCUGACCCGUUGAACCUGAACCGGUUAAGACCGGCGGAGGGAAGGUUUGAGAUGCUCUC